rnacentral:lncRNA from 10 species
UAGUCAAGGCCCCCAGGUAUCUGGCACAACCCCGGCAAUAUGCAAAGCCUCCUCUAAUGAUGGUUGAAUCCAGGAGACCCCAACCGCUGUGAUGGAAACCUCGCCACCUCCAGAGGCAGCCGAUGACUCCUGGGGCAGCCCCACCCGGCUCAAAGGCAACCUGCUCCACAGAGCCAGCCCCAUCCCUAGGCUUGGAGCCAAACAGGAUUGCUCCUUCAUAAGAAAAAAAAAUCAGAGCUACAGAGUCAGCCGUCUUAAAAAGCUCCCUGCAUUCUUGCCUUGCCCAGCCAAGCAGCCUCAGGUCCCCCUGCUCCCUGUACCUGGCUGGGCUCAGAGCCACUCUCAACCACAUAUUUUUUAAGUCCUUUGUCCCAGACUAUGAACGGCAUGGAAACCAAUUGAGGACUGGGGGUGGCAGCUUGUGUGUGUGACUGCUUGAGCUCUGGAGGGUCCUUCUACUGUCAGCGCCUCCCCAUCCCCCACCCCCAUUCUUCUGUGAUGGCCCCGAGUGUCUGUAAUGCAUCCCUCAACUUUUCAUCUGCCAGUGAGACUCACAGAGCAAAUAGCCCAAGGAAAGACAAACUAUGGAUCAAACUCAUACUAAAGUAUAAAUGACUUUCUUCUCCCAGAUCAUUUUGAUAGUGAACAGGACAAUCAGCAUCAGGCCCACAGACGGCGAGGGAUGGAAGGAGUGGAGGAAGAGAACUUCCCACGGCAAGGGGAAAGGGAAGAAGGAAGAGGCUUGGAGGAAGGGGGACAAGGAAAACUUUUAUUUCCUUCUCAUCUGGCCUGGACUGAGCCAGCUCUUCCUUACCUGCUGCCCCAAACAGGGAGGCCAGCAUAGCCAGAGAGGGGGCCAGCGUGUGUCUGAUCCCAGGGGCAAUAUUAAAGUUUGCCUCAGUCCAGGGCGCCCAUCUGAAAAAUCAGGGCAAAAACAGGACUAAGAACAAAGGAGAAAAAGGCUAAGAGCAAGGGACCACACAGGAACUGAGAAAUGAUUUCUCAGCUAAGCGUCUGGCCUUUGGAGAUGCCUCCCUGCCCAUCUGUGUGGCUGGGGUCAGAGAACCCCCACCAGGAGGGUGAGGGGGAGUGAAGAAGGGUGAAGAAGAGACCUGGGGCUCUUCCCGGAGAGUGUGCGUGAGAGCCAGGGGCUGGCUGAGAGGCCACUGGCUUCCAGAUGUCCCAGCCUCCAUCAGGCCAGACCUACUCCUGCAGGCCAGGGUUGCAACCCCAUCAACAUGAUAUAGGGAGCCCGAGGGAAGCAGGACAAACUCUGCCUGAUGUUCCUUCCCUCCAUCAGCCAUCAAUCCCCCAGUACAAUGAGACGGUCCUCUCAGCUGUGCCCAGCCACAGAAACAGCCUCUGUGCCUUGGGAAAAAAUGAUGUUGGCGGGCUACACCCCAUUCACACUCAUGAAUCCACUCCAGAAGUCUGAAGACUUUUUCCCCAGGUAAAAAAGAAAGAGGAAUCAAAGAAAACAAAGGAAGGGCAGAAAAUAAAAGAAAGAAAAGUGAGAACAAGGAAAAGAGAGAGCAAGAUUCAGAGGCAGGGAAGACCUGAGUCUGGGAAGAGGGCAGGAAUGUACCCUGUGGGGCUGAGGCGUGUCCCUUCAUGUCACAUCCUGGUGCUGGUGGUGACCUGAUUUUGACUCAUCCAAAAAAUGAUCAAAAGAGAGGGAAACAAAGACUAGGACAUCUAGCACAAUGUUGAAAAGUAUGGCCCAGACCCUAUCAGAAUAAUCCCAGCCCAUCAUAGCAAAAUUGGUGAAAACAAAAAAAAGGGAAAAAUGACAAAACAGCCAGAGGAAAAAGACAUCUAUUUUCAAAAGAUUAAUAAUAAGGCAAAUGGCUGACUUUUCAACAGAAGCAAUAGAAACCAAAGACAAUAGAGUGACAUAUUGAAAUUGCUGAAAGAAAAUUACUGCCAAUCUAGGGUUCUGUAUCUAGAGAAAAUAUCUUUCAAAAAUGAAAACAAAAUAAAUAUGUUUUUGGAUGA